rnacentral:rRNA from 1 species
UGCUUGGCGCAGCUACCAUGCAGUCGAGCGGUAACAGAUCCAGCUUGCUGGAUGCUGACGAGCGGCGGACGGGUGAGUAAUGCAUAGGAAUCUGCCCGAUAGUGGGGGAUAACCUGGGGAAACCCAGGCUAAUACCGCAUACGUCCUACGGGAGAAAGGGGGCUUCGGCUCCCGCUAUCGGAUGAGCCUAUGUCGGAUUAGCUAGUUGGUGAGGUAACGGCUCACCAAGGCCACGAUCCGUAGCUGGUCUGAGAGGAUGAUCAGCCACAUCGGGACUGAGACACGGCCCGAACUCCUACGGGAGGCAGCAGUGGGGAAUAUUGGACAAUGGGGGGAACCCUGAUCCAGCCAUGCCGCGUGUGUGAAGAAGGCCCUCGGGUUGUAAAGCACUUUCAGCGAGGAAGAACGCCUAGCGGUUAAUACCCGCUAGGAAAGACAUCACUCGCAGAAGAAGCACCGGCUAACUCCGUGCCAGCAGCCGCGGUAAUACGGAGGGUGCAAGCGUUAAUCGGAAUUACUGGGCGUAAAGCGCGCGUAGGUGGCUUGAUAAGCCGGUUGUGAAAGCCCCGGGCUCAACCUGGGAACGGCAUCCGGAACUGUCAAGCUAGAGUGCAGGAGAGGAAGGUAGAAUUCCCGGUGUAGCGGUGAAAUGCGUAGAGAUCGGGAGGAAUACCAGUGGCGAAGGCGGCCUUCUGGACUGACACUGACACUGAGGUGCGAAAGCGUGGGUAGCAAACAGGAUUAGAAGCUUU